rnacentral:rRNA from 1 species
UACAGAGGUCUCAAGCGUUGUUCGGAUUCACUGGGUUUAAAGGGUGCGUAGGCGGCGCGGUAAGUCGGGUGUGAAAUCUCGGAGCUUAACUCCGAAACUGCAUUCGAUACUGCCGUGCUUGAGGACUGGAGAGGAGACUGGAAUUUACGGUGUAGCGGUGAAAUGCGUAGAUAUCUGGAAGAACACCAGUGGCGAAGGCGGUCAACUGGCCCGAAACUGACGCUGAGGCACGAAAGCGUGGGUAGCGAACAGG